rnacentral:rRNA from 1 species
UACGUAGGGUGCGAGCGUUGUCCGGAAUUACUGGGCGUAAAGAGCUCGUAGGUGGUUUGUCACGUCGUCUGUGAAAUUCCGGGGCUUAACCUCGGGCGUGCAGGCGAUACGGGCAAUACUUGAGUGCUGUAGGGGAGACUGGAAUUCCUGGUGUAGCGGUGAAAUGCGCAGAUAUCAGGAGGAACACCAAUGGCGAAGGCAGGUCUCUGAGCAGUUACUGACGCUGAGGAGCGAAAGCAUGGGUAGCGAACAGGAUUA